rfam:Pseudomonas sp. ABAC61 scaffold275_001, whole genome shotgun sequence.
GGGGGCAGCUCGGCAUGGAUGCCGAGCUAGCCGCCCCAGGCCAUGGAUGGCCUGUGGCGGCGUGCCCC